rnacentral:rRNA from 1 species
GGCGAACGGGUGAGUAACACGUAAACAAUCUACCUUUAAGUUUGGGAUAACCUUGCCAACGCGAGGCUAAUACCGGAUGUGAUGCACUGACCGCAUGGUUGGUGUCUUAAAGAUGACCUCUAUUUAUAAGUUAUCGCUUAGAGAUGAGUUUGCGGCCCAUUAGUUAGUUGGCGGGGUAACGGCCCACCAAGACUUCGAUGGGUAGCCGGCCUGAGAGGGUGAACGGCCGCAUUGGGACUGAGAUACGGCCCAGACUCCUUCGGGAGGCAGCAGUAGGGAAUUUUGCGCAAUGGGCGAAAGCCUGACGCA